UAGGUUUGCACUCAAGACUGCCAUUUACCUUAAUGGAAGCUGUUCAUAUGCCCCCAGGAAAGAAUGAACAAUUUAAUAGAAAAUGCUAAAGGAGUGAUAUUAAGAAAUGUCAAUAAAUGUUACUGAUGCUAUCAUCAUCAUCAUCAAGGUCAUGACAGAAAGAGGACACAUUACAUGAAAUCUCAACUUCAUCCCUGAGCCAUGCACACUUUUCUCUUCAAAGACUUAUAUGUCAGAUUCUAACACUGUCAAAUGACAGAAAAUGUAAGUCUUUAUGCUUUGUUCUGUAGCUAAUUUUUGCAUCUUUCCAUUUGAAUUUGGGUUUAGCAUCAUUUUGUCCCACACAACAGAAGCUGAUCUCCAAAGAGAGGAAUGAUGUAGCCUCAAGUGACAAAGACAUUGAGUGAAGUCUUUCAAAUCCUGGGAUGCCUGUGGCCCAGCACAGAGGGCUGCUGGGGUGCCAACACGGAGUUUACCCCUCACGUGUCUGUAAUUGGGUAAAGAGAGGUAAAGUUUAGCAUGUGAUAUGUAAAACGGGCAGCUACAAAUACAAUUCUAAAACAAGCAGAA
rnacentral:antisense_RNA from 1 species